rfam:Phytophthora infestans T30-4 supercont1.50 genomic scaffold, whole genome shotgun sequence.
GCUUCCUUUGGCUCAGUUAAUAGAGCGUCAGUCUCAUAAUCAGAAUGUCGCCAGUUCGAGCCUGGCAGGGAGCA